rnacentral:rRNA from 1 species
CCUACGGGCGGCAGCAGUGAGGAAUAUUGGUCAAUGGGCGCGAGCCUGAACCAGCCAAGUAGCGUGAAGGAUUACUGCCCUACGGGUUGUAAACUUCUUUUAUAAAGGAAUAAAGUGAGGCAAGUGUGCCUUUUUGUAUGUACUUUAUGAAUAAGGAUCGGCUAACUCCGGGCCAGCAGCCGCGGUAAUACGGAGGAUCCGAGCGUUAUCCGGAUUUAUUGGGUUUAAAGGGCGCGUAGAGGGGUUGUUAAGUCAGUUGUGAAAGGUUGCGGCGCAACCGUAAAAUUGCAAUUGAUACUGGCAGUCUUGAGUACAGGUGAGGUAGGCGGAAUUCGUGGGGUAGCGGUGAAAUGCUUAGAUAUCACGAAGAACUCCGAUUGCGAAGGCAGCUUACUAAACUGCCACUGACAUUGAUGCUCGAAAGUGUGGGUAUCAAACAGGAUUAGAUACCCUUGUAGUC